rnacentral:lncRNA from 1 species
UGAGCCAUAUACUUUCUUAACAUCUCUGCCAUCCUCACUAUCCUCUUUGGUAUGUCUUCUCUUCAGACUGCCUCCUUAGCUCUCUUCUGGACCACUAUAACAGCCUAACAAUUGUAUCACCUUCAGUUUUGCUCUUUCUUCCAUAUGACUGUCAGAAUUAUUUCUCUGGAAGAUCAUGUCAAUCACUCCUUCUCAGUGGUUCUUCAUUGCCUAUAGGAAGAAAUCCAAACUCCAUAGCAUGAGAGAAAUGUUUUUCAUAACGACUUUAUCCUGCCUUUCUAUUGUUUCUUUCAUAUCAUGCCCAUCUCAGCCCCCCAUUCAAUGAAAAUCAUACUAAACUACUUUAAUUCCACUAAGAUGUUGUGCUAGUUAAGCCUCUUUACCUUUGUUCAUGCUGUUUUUACUCAGACCACUCCAUUCCACAACAUACACUUGGGGGAUACCUACUAAUUUUGAAGACCCUGUUCAGCCCUGAUGUUAACCUUCUUUAUGGAAUCAUUAUUGACACGACGGAUAGAAUUGGUCAGAUGCUUCCUUGUUCAUCAGUUGUACUAGGCACAGCAUUCUAAUGUAGCACCUAUUACACGUUUUAAAAUUUGGUUACAUGUCUCCCCUCAUGUAAGUUUGUAGGACUGGUACCUGAAAUAUACUAGGCUUACAUUACUGACAUUUUGAAGUAUAAGAUAGCUUUCCAAGGCUUGCUUUUGCCUCCUGAUUCAGGACUCUACCGUUGGCAUCAUCAGGAAGAACUUCAAAUAGUAUUAUUGAUCAGAGUCUUCUGGAAGUUUCUGCAGGUUACACAUCAACUUUUCCCUGACAAAAUAAUUCUGCAUCUAGAAACACAAACAAGUAGUCAAAGAAGUUAUAUUGGAACUAAGAGAUGAAUUACCAAAGGAAAACUCAAAUCAAGAAACAUUUGAUAAAAUUCAGGCAAUGUCUUCAGGUGCCAGAGGACACAGAAAUGUCCUGAGAACCAUUCACAUGAUCUUAAAGAAACUUCUGCUGGUAUUCUUGUACCUUUGAAGCAAGUGUGAUUGAGAUGGAUACCUUAAUUUUUUUAAAGUAAAAAUUGUUCAUUCUCUUAUGUACUUUAGCAUACUGGUAUUCUUAUCAAAAUAUGAAACAGCAUCAAGUUUAAUAUUAAUUAUAAAACACAUAGUAUAUUUAUAUUUCUGCUCUUUGUUUUCUAAAGUUAACUCAGUUAACUCUAUAGGUAUUUGGACAUGGGCUGUAACCACUUUUUAGAACAAAUACUGUGAAGAAUGUUUUAUUACAUGUUUUAUUACAUGACAUUUUAUGAUGUGAGUUUAACACCUUUGUAUUAGUAAACAUCCUAGAUUGUUCACUUCAAUGUAGAUUUUUAAAAUGUAUAGUUAUACUUGUGCAGGAUACUAGAAAAUGAAAACGACUGUUCACACAUGAAUACUUUAUUAUUCAGUAAUUUUACAUGAAAAUAUUACUGUUUGAAAGAAAAUCAUGCAUGCCUAAAACUGAUUCUGUUCCAGUUUUAUAAGUUUGUAUACUAAUUUUAAGACAUUGUGUAUAUUUCCUUCAUUUAAUUUCCAUUUUCUACUGCAUUUCUACCAAUAUAAAACACAAAGAAUUCAAUUGGUUCCUUUCUAGAGGGAAAAUUUGUUGUGAGUAUAGUACUGGGCAUCACAUGCUGCUUCCCUUUGUGGCUUUGAAUAAAACCCUUAUUUUCUUGUCC